GAUGAACGCUAGCUACAGGCUUAACACAUGCAAGUCGAGGGGCAGCGGGGUUGUAGCAAUACGACUGCCGGCGACCGGCGCACGGGUGAGUAACACGUAUCCAACCUUCCGGCUACUCGGGAAUAGCCUUUCGAAAGAAAGAUUAAUGCCCGAUGGUAUACCAGGUCCGCAUGGACCUGUUAUUAAAGAUUUAUCGGUAACCGAUGGGGAUGCGUUCCAUUAGGCAGUUGGCGGGGUAACGGCCCACCAAACCUACGAUGGAUAGGGGUUCUGAGAGGAAGGUCCCCCACAUUGGAACUGAGACACGGUCCAAACUCCUACGGGAGGCAGCAGUGAGGAAUAUUGGUCAAUGGGCGAGAGCCUGAACCAGCCAAGUAGCGUGAAGGAUGACUGCCCUAUGGGUUGUAAACUUCUUUUAUACGGGAAUAACAAGCG
rnacentral:rRNA from 1 species